UAUUCUGUGAGUUGCGAACGGGUGAGUAACGCGUAGGUAACCUGCCUGGUAGCGGGGGAUAACUAUUGGAAACGAUAGCUAAUACCGCAUAAGAACAUUUACUGCAUGGUAGAUGUUUAAAAGGUGCAAAAGCAUCACUACCAGAUGGACCUGCGUUGUAUUAGCUAGUUGGUGAGGUAACGGCUCACCAAGGCAACGAUACAUAGCCGACCUGAGAGGGUGAUCGGCCACACUGGGACUGAGACACGGCCCAGACUCCUACGGGAGGCAGCAGUAGGGAAUCUUCGGCAAUGGGGGGAACCCUGACCGAGCAACGCCGCGUGAGUGAAGAAGGUUUUCGGAUCGUAAAGCUCUGUUGUUAAGGAAGAACGUGUGUGAGAGUGGAAAGUUCACACAGUGACGGUACUUAACCAGAAAGGGACGGCUAACUACGUGCCAGCAGCCGCGGUAAUACGUAGGUCCCGAGCGUUGUCCGGAUUUAUUGGGCGUAAAGCGAGCGCAGGCGGUUAGAUAAGUCUGAAGUGAAAGGCAGUGGCUCAACCAUUGUAGGCUUUGGAAACUGUUUAACUUGAGUGCAGAAGGGGAGAGUGGAAUUCCAUGUGUAGCGGUGAAAUGCGUAGAUAUAUGGAGGAACACCGGUGGCGAAAGCGGCUCUCUGGUCUGUAACUGACGCUGAGGCUCGAAAGCGUGGGGAGCGAACAGGAUUAGAUACCCUGGUAGUCCA
rnacentral:rRNA from 1 species